rnacentral:rRNA from 1 species
CAGUAGCCACGGUAAUACGUAGGUCCCGAGCGUUGUCCGGAUUUAUUGGGCGUAAAGCGAGCGCAGGCGGUUAGAUAAGUCUGAAGUUAAAGGCUGUGGCUUAACCAUAGUACGCUUUGGAAACUGUUUAACUUGAGUGCAAGAGGGGAGAGUGGAGUUCCAUGUGUAGCGGUGAAAUGCGUAGAUAUAUGGAGGAACACCGGUGGCGAAAGCGGCUCUCUGGCUUGUAACUGACGCUGAGGCUCGAAAGCGUGGGGAGCAAACAGGAUUAGAUACCCCAGUAGUCCCUGUCUCUUAUACA